rnacentral:rRNA from 1 species
GAGCACGUAGGUGGGUUUGUAAGUCGGUAGUGAAAUCCUCCGGCUCAACCGGAGAACUGCUUCCGAUACUGCAAGUCUUGAGGACGGGAGAGGAGAGUGGAACUUCCAGUGGAGCGGUGAAAUGCGUAGAUAUUGGAGGGAACACCGGUGGCGAAAGCGACUCUCUGGUCCGUCUCUGACGCUGAGUGUGCGGAAGCUAGGGUAGCAAACGGGAUUAGAUACCCCGGUAGUCCUAGCCCUAAACGAUGGGCACUAAGUAGAGGGGUUUU